rnacentral:rRNA from 1 species
GGGGUAACGGCCCACCAAGACUACGAUGGAUAGGGGUUCUGAGAGGAAGGUCCCCCACAUUGGAACUGAGACACGGUCCAAACUCNUACGGGAGGCAGCAGUGAGGAAUAUUGGUCAAUGGACGCGAGUCUGAACCAGCCAAGUAGCGUGAAGGAUGACUGCCCUAUGGGUUGUAAACUUCUUUUAUAUGGGAAUAAAGUGGUCCACGUGUGGACUUUUGUAUGUACCAUAUGAAUAAGGAUCGGCUAACUCCGUGCCAGCAGCCGCGGUAAUACGGAGGAUCCGAGCGUUAUCCGGAUUUAUUGGGUUUAAAGGGAGCGUAGGCGGAUUGUUAAGUCAGUUGUGAAAGUUUGCGGCUCAACCGUAAAAUUGCAGUUGAUACUGGCAGUCUUGAGUGCAGUAGAGGUGGGCGGAAUUCGUGGUGUAGCGGUGAAAUGCUUAGAUAUCACGAAGAACUCCGAUUGCGAAGGCAGCUCACUGGAGUGUAAC